rnacentral:miRNA from 1 species
GCGUGUGUGCGGCUCUUGGGGGCUUUUUCCCGAGGGGGGAGAAGGGCUGCCUUUCUCCCUCCUCGGGGAAAAGCCCCCAAGAGCCGCACACACGC